CCCUUAGAUGUUCGGGGCCGCACGCGCGCUACACUGAAGGAAUCAGCACGUCUUUCUCCUUGUCCGAAAGGACUGGGUAACCCGCUGAACCUCCUUCGUGCUAGGGAUUGGGGCUUGUAAUUCUUCCCCAUGAACGAGGAAUUCCCGGUAAGCGCGAGUCAUAAGCUCGCGUUGAUUACGUCCCUGCCCUUUGUACACACCGCCCGUCGCUACUACCGAUUGGAUGGUUUAGUGAGAUCCUCGGAUUGGUCCCGGAGCGGCCUCUGGUCGUGCCGGAGUGCCGAAAAGAAUGUCGAACUUGAUCAUCUAGAGGAAGUAAAAGUCGUAACA
rnacentral:rRNA from 1 species